UACGAAGGGGGCAAGCGUUGUUCGGAAUUACUGGGCGUAAAGGGCGCGUAGGCGGCCGAUCAAGUCAGGCGUGAAAUUCCCGGGCUCAACCUGGGGGCUGCGCUUGAUACUGAUUGGCUUGAAUGCGGGAGAGGAUAGUGGAAUUCCCAGUGUAGAGGUGAAAUUCGUAGAUAUUGGGAAGAACACCGGUGGCGAAGGCGGCUCACUGGCUCGUAACUGACGCUCAUGCACGACAGCGUGGGGAUCAAACAGG
rnacentral:rRNA from 1 species